UCGCAUGCGGCUGUUAAUUUUGCUUUGCUUUUUCAUGUCGGUUCACCUUCUCCGGCUGAGUAUGUGACUGGGUCUACGUGACUCUCGGCAGAGCGUAAAUGGCUUACAUUUGUCGAGAACGUUUUGCCAUUGCCUUUUGUUCUUGUUGUCGCACUCAUAUACUGUGUAUGUACUUUUCAUUAUGUACUAUAUUUACAGCCGGAAAGAGUGACAUCUUUUUAGACGUUUUGUAGCCGCGCGUUGGUUGAGUAGGAACGAGCGUACGAACGCACGCACGACGUGCGCGUUUGUGUGAGCCGAAUGCCGGGCAGUUCAGCUGACGACACGGACUUACAGAAAGUCGUCUGUAGCGUCAGCCGCUGUUGUAAAACUGCAAAAUUACGAGAUAAAAUAAAAAAAAGUGAAGAUUUCAACGAAAAACUUUUGAAAAGACAGAUAUUUUGACGUGAAAAUUUUCAAUUAAAAUCUAGUGUACUCUUCCUAGAAAAAAUAAAUAAAAUAAAAGUGAAAAAAUACAAUUAAAUCUAUAAAAAAUUAAAUUCACACUAAAUUUCGUGAAAGAAACUUUUAUUGUACAAGAUGAAAAUAAAAGUAAAAAAAAAACAAACAUUUUUUCC